GAUGAACGCUGGCGGCGUGCCUAAUACAUGCAAGUCGAGCGAACAGACGAGGAGCUUGCUCCUCUGACGUUAGCGGCGGACGGGUGAGUAACACGUGGAUAACCUACCUAUAAGACUGGGAUAACUUCGGGAAACCGGAGCUAAUACCGGAUAAUAUAUUGAACCGCAUGGUUCAAUAGUGAAAGACGGUUUUGCUGUCACUUAUAGAUGGAUCCGCGCCGCAUUAGCUAGUUGGUAAGGUAACGGCUUACCAAGGCGACGAUGCGUAGCCGACCUGAGAGGGUGAUCGGCCACACUGGAACUGAGACACGGUCCAGACUCCUACGGGAGGCAGAAGUAGGGAAUCUUCCGCAAUGGGCGAAAGCCUGACGGAGCAACGCCGCGUGAGUGAUGAAGGUCUUCGGAUCGUAAAACUCUGUUAUUAGGGAAGAACAAAUGUGUAAGUAACUAUGCACGUCUUGACGGUACCUAAUCAGAAAGACACGGCUAACUACGUG
rnacentral:rRNA from 1 species